CCUUAAAGGGACAGCACCCUGCCGGCACCGGGGGACAACUUCUCCCCGCAAGCAGCGCCGUCCUGACGCGCACUCCACCCGUUUGAUUCUUCUCCGUUCACCAUGCCAAGGCCACACGAGAAAGGGUGAAACUGCCACUAUCCACUAUUAUAUAUGGAUAUUUAAGGAACCAAAAGGGUGAGCACCAAAUGAACAACCAAUGUUCCCAGCACAUUUAAACAAGAGUGCUUCACACCAUUUACUACGGACUGCAGAGGGAGCCAUUGAUUCCAAGAGCAGGAAUCAAAGGAAGCACACUCCACACCUGUUUCUCCUGGCAAACGACUGAGAAAGCUUCAAGAUUCUGGCAGCUGGAAGCAGGAACCAGAAAUAGACCCUUAAACAGCAGGGGGAAAGUCAAUAGAAAACUUGCUUUUUUUAAAAAAAAAAGGAACCGCAAGUUGUUGAACUCUGUAUUUUAUUAUUUCACAGCUUUUUUUCCUUAAAAAUCUAGGCACUUGUGAAUACCCAAAUUUUGACAAAAGUUUAUACAUUGAAUGUUCUAAA